GCGCAACCCUUGUCCUUAGUUGCACCAUUCAGUUGGGCACUCUAAGGAGACUGCCGGUGUUAAACCGGAGGAAGGUGGGGAUGACGUCAAGUCCUCAUGGCCCUUAUAUCCAGGGCUACACACGUGCUACAAUGGCCGGUACAAAGGGUCGCAAUACCGCGAGGUGGAGCUAAUCCCAAAAAGCCGGUCUCAGUUCGGAUUGGAGUCUGCAACUCGACUCCAUGAAGUCGGAAUCGCUAGUAAUCGCGUAUCAGCGUGACGCGGUGAAUACGUUCCCGGGCCUU
rnacentral:rRNA from 1 species